GAUCGGGUGGUGUAGUGGGCAAGCAUACCUGAACGCUGUACUAAGGUAUGUGUACUAGGGUGACACAGGUUCGAAUCCUGUCCCGAUAA